AGUGAACGCUGGCGGUAGGCCUAACACAUGCAAGUCGAACGGCAGCACAGGAGAGCUUGCUCUCUGGGUGGCGAGUGGCGGACGGGUGAGGAAUACAUCGGAAUCUACUCUGUCGUGGGGGAUAACGUAGGGAAACUUACGCUAAUACCGCAUACGACCUACGGGUGAAAGCAGGGGACCUUCGGGCCUUGCGCGAUUGAAUGAGCCGAUGUCGGAUUAGCUAGUUGGCGGGGUAAAGGCCCACCAAGGCGACGAUCCGUAGCUGGUCUGAGAGGAUGAGCAGCCACACUGGAACUGAGACACGGUCCAGACUCCUACGGGAGGCAGCAGUGGGGAAUAUUGGACAAUGGGCGCAAGCCUGAUCCAGCCAUACCGCGUGGGCGAAGAAGGCCUUCGGGUUGUAAAGCCCUUUUGUUGGGAAAGAAAUCCAGCUGGCUAAUACCCGGUUGGGAUGACGGUACCCAAAGAAUAAGCACCGGCUAACUUCGUGCCAGCCGCCGCAGUAA
rnacentral:rRNA from 1 species